rnacentral:piRNA from 1 species
UAGUGUUUCUUGGAGCUCACCAAGUC